ACGGCGUCGAGAUGAUCCACUCUGUCAGGAUCCGCACGACCAGGCCUCUUCCGCUUGGUCGACCCCUCGCACGGGACUGGCGUCGCCAACGCUGGCCUCAUCAAGGGUCAAAAUUGAUUCCUCCGCUUUAGAUAAACUCUCUUCUCAAUCGAAGAAACCCUCUUCGAUCUCUCCCCCCAAAACCCUACCACCCACAAACCCUAAAUUUCUAACCAUUAAUUUCUGCAGCAAUGACCAUUUAGCCAUUAAUUUCUCUAAAGGAGGUUAUGGGAGUUGAGCAGGUUAUUUUGAGGGGAAGGAGCUGGGAGGAGAAUUCAGGGGAGGGGAAGGAGAAGGGGAAGAGUAAGGUUGAUCAGCAGGCUAUUUUGAGGACCCAGGUAUUUAUCCUCCACAAGUGAAAGUGUUUGCGUUAAGGCAGUUGUUGAAAUUUGAAAGACACUUUGUUUCAGAAAUCAUCGACUUUCAGGUAAAUAUCAGCUACACAGUUCAGAAAUUUACCUCAGUUCACUUAAGAGUUUAGAAAUUUACCUCAGGUAAAUAUCAGCCACGUUCAUAAAGUUGUUUAGUUGAUUCAAGCCCUGAACAACUUUUUAUGGUUUAAUGGGAGUUGCAUUUAAUAUUUAUUCCUAUCCAUGCUCGGUUAUUCUUCUUGUUUAGUGUACAAAUUGCUUCCCAUUUUAUGAUUUCUAAUAUUACAUAAAGUUGACAAGGAAGAUGUCCGAACAUGCAUGAGGCAAUAAAGCAAUAAAAGCAGAAUAUAGGAAAGUUUACUUUUAGCAGUGACAAGAGUGUACAGAUCAAAUGGCGAAGAAAUACCUAUAUCGUUCUUGUUUCCGUUCUAGCCUCUAAACACAAACUGGCAUCAUAACCAUACUCAUUGUUAGAUAAUAUCUAAAAUAUUGCAAACAAACAAGGCAGCAAUAGUCAACAUCAAGAAAAAGAUAACAACAAUUCGAAGUAGUAAAAUCAUCUAAUAUACUCAAAUACCAAAAUACAAAAUUUGUAAAAAGAAAUAGCCAAGUAAAAUGAAUCAGCCAAAGUGCAACAACAAGAAAUCAACCGUCAAAUAUAAAAAUUAGGCAUAAUAACUUAAUAAGUAAAAUCUGGAAUCUUGCUGCUGCAACUAAGCUAAUAUGGAUGGUACAUCUUAAAAAAGAUCUUCUUUGGAUCGAUCAAAUGGGUUCAUAGCACUUAUUUACAACAAACAAAUAUCUGGCUUUAUAUUUCUGCUUGGAUGCUCUCGAAAUAUACAUCUUGUGCCUUUAUAUUUGGCCCUCUCAUUGUAUUGUACUUAUUCAUCAAAACUUUGGUAGCCUCAUCUCCAUCUCUAACUUAUAACUUGAGUAAGAUGUAUGCAGACACUAACAAGAAAGCUUGUUAGGAAUCCAUCCUAUGCUCUUUCUUCGAGUUUUGCAGAUGAGCCAAUGGAGAUACCCCUCCAAUGUAUCACUACCUUAUAAAGGGUAUAGGUGAGUAUUUUUGUGAUACAAACCAUGAAGUUCUUUUAUGAAUACUUACUAAGGGAUACUGAUGUGAGGGUAUUUUGAAAUUGUAACAUGGAUGAAGAUUGGGAAGAUAAUGAUGGUGCUCUCAAUGCGAUAAUGAUGUUAUUCUUCAUAAGUGAAUAAACAUUUGAUUUUUUGAGUCACUCAUUAACUCCAUCUUUGCAAAAUUUAUCCUGAAAUUUUCAUGAAAACUUAUCUGAUAUAUGCGAUAGUGUUCAUCACUAAGCUUGAUAAUACUCCUUCAUUUUUCAGGUACUAUACGAUUAUUGAAGCCGAUCACAUCUUUUUUAUUGUAAAUCAAGAGAGAGCAGGAGUACAGUUCAGCAAUUUGAAUUAGAAGCUCUCAAUAUGCUGAGUGUAAUACUAAUUAUGACUUGAAGCAUUGAAAGUUCUCUGCGGUUCCGAUUGUAAAUAAACAUAUAAAUAGAAAAUUAGUUAUUAUCUAUGUAAACAAUUUAUGUAUCACGUUCCUUUUGUUAAUAGAGAUUAUUAGAGUAGUUGGAAUC